UUUAAAUUUAGAGUUUGAUCCUGGCUCAGGACGAACGCUGGCGGCGUGCUUAACACAUGCAAGUCGAGCGAUGAAGCUUCCUUCGGGGAGUGGA
rnacentral:rRNA from 1 species